UUGACAGUCUCUGAGAUCAAAGUCCUCUUUUUAUCAACUGAACAGAUACAGCACAGGGAGUAAAAAUUUCCCAUCAACCCAAACCUCCACUCUGGAGAUUUUACCUAUGAAGGAUGAGAGGCUAUUUCAAGCUUUGCUUUUGUCUUUUUUUCCU
ensembl:misc_RNA